GCGCGGGAGGUGCGCCGCCGGAGAGCUGUGACGUCAGCGGCGCGCCCGUCUGAACGCGGAGUUUGGCUCCGGAGCGCGCAUCAAGAUAUCAACUUCCCUGAUUGAAUUUGCUUUGGACAGCCGAUCUGAUAUGCCACUGUAAAGCAGAUC